rnacentral:rRNA from 1 species
GACGUAGGGGGCCAGCGUUGUUCGGAAUUACUGGGUGUAAAGGGUUCGUAGGCGGUGCGGCAAGUCGGGAGUGAAAUCUCUGGGCUUAACCCAGAGGCUGCUUCCGAAACUGCUGUGCUUGAGUGUGGGAGAGGCGCGUGGAAUUGCAGGUGUAGCGGUGAAAUGCGUAGAUAUCUGCAGGAACACCCGUGGCGAAAGCGGCUCACUGGCCCGGUACUGACGCUGAGGUGCGAAAGCGUGGGGAGCAAACAGG